rnacentral:lncRNA from 1 species
GAGCUGUGGAGAGCACUGCCUGGAGGCUGCAGCCAUCUUCAGGAGCUCCUCAUUUCCGAUGCUCCGACGUUAGGUGUUUGGUUUGUACUCUCCAUGGAUCUUUUGUCAGAUUUUAUUUGUCUGUUGAUCUUUGCCAUGUUGGCGGUAUCCCUCCGCCCAUUGCAGCACGGCGGGACUCCAGGGCACGGCAGGGCACGGCAGGGCAGGGCCGCCCGCGCCCCUCAGCUCCACAGCCGUGACACAAAGGGGCAGCCCGGCGAGAGGGUCCCCGUGGCUCCGGGCAGCGAGAUGCUGCUCCCGACCCCGACAAGGAGGGUCCAGCUAGGAGCCCCUCGAAGGGGAUUUCGCAGAGAGCGAUCGGCAGGAUAGAAACCCGUCGUUAUUACAAGUACUAAUGAGUUCUCCAGGCGCUCCCCUCGGGCCGAGGAACUGCCGUGCUCCGCAGAGGGACCGUCGAGGAGAAAUAACUCCGGUGCGGACGCCCCGUCCCUGGCGGCUGCGGACCGCUCGGUGCCACCGCGGGCGCUCCGCGUUCGUCGCAGUGUUGGGACCGCAGUGCUCCGCCCGGAGCUGCGCUGUGUCCCUCCCGACGGAAAGUCCAACACAACGCAGUUCCAAAAAGAAAGGGAAAAGGUUUGAUUUAAUCCAGAAAAUAAUUAAAAUCUCAUGUAUUUUUAUUGGUUUGAGUAUCCAGCAGAGUGAAAAUAUUGAAACUCCGAGCCCCCUUGCAUUAAAAAGUCACAACUGCUCCAUUUUAUUGGUUCUGACUGUGUGAAAAAAAUUAUAAGGACAACAUUGAAAAAAUCCGGGUUUUAGAGCCCCGAAUGGCCGUAAAAACAAUAAAAUCAACUAUAAAACCUGCA